rnacentral:RNase_P_RNA from 1 species
AUAAUAGAUCGCUUUAUCGCAUUCUUUCAUAUGGUGGAAUGAGGAAAGUCCGGACAACGUAGAACGCCGUACCGGUUAACAACCGGGCUUUUGCUGAAGAGCAAAAGACAGAGAGUGUCACAGAAACUAUACCGUCCGUCGAUUGACGGAUAAGGGUGAAAACGUGUGGUAAGAGCGCACGUUUCCGGGUGGUAACAUCCGGAAGGGAUAAACCUUGCGGGUUGAAAUGCCGUGUAUAUUCCGGGUCGAAAGUUGUUCGCUUGAAAUAAUACUUGUUAUUAUUACCGGGAGGGGUAGGCAGAAAUGUAUUUUCAUUAUGAAUAUACAAAGAUAAAUGAUAAAGGUUCUUCGGUUUGAAGAAUACAGAAUCCGGCUUACAGAUCUAUUUUAUUA